ACGACCUUACUUGAACAGGAUCUGUUCUAUAGGAGCGUACAUCUGUAUCCUUUAGCACAAAGGAGACAGGAACCCAAACCUGGUUGAUGAAUCAGGACCGUGCGAUCCGAGCGUGAUUAACGGUUUGCUAGGUCCUUGGAUCUAGGUUUGACUGUAGAGGAUCGUACCCAGCCAGCCUUGCUGAAUGGGUUGGUCGCAUGGUUGUCUGACAGGCU
rfam:Jatropha curcas cultivar GZQX0401 scaffold550_21, whole genome shotgun sequence.